AUUGAACGCUGGCGGCAGGCCUAACACAUGCAAGUCGAACGAGUGGCGGACGGGUGAGUAAUGUGUGGGAAAGCGCCUGAUGGAGGGGGAUAAAUACUGGAAACGGUAGCUAAUACCGCAUACCAUCAGAUGUGCCCAGAUGGGUUUAGCUAGUUGGUGGGGUAACGGCUCACCAAGGCGACGAUCCCCAGCGGGUCGGAGAGGAUGACCAGCCACACGGGAACUGAGCCACGGUCCAUACGCCUACGGGAGGCAGCAGUGGGGAAUAUUGCACAAUGGGCGCAAGCCUGAUGCAGCCAUGCCGCGUGUAUGAAGAAGGCCUUCGGGUUGUAAAGUACUUUCAGCGGGGAGGCGUUACCCGCAGAAGAAGCACCGGCUAACUACGUGCCAGCAGCCGCGGUAAUUC
rnacentral:rRNA from 1 species